rnacentral:rRNA from 1 species
GGGGGCUUCGUGCUUGAGGAUCUGGGUCCACCUCCCACCCGUGUUUAUCGUACCUUGUUGCUUCGGCGGGCCCGCCUCACGGCCGCCGGGGGGCAUCCGCCCCCGGGCCCGCGCCCGCCGAAGACACACAAACGAACUCUUGUCUGAAGAUUGCAGUCUGAGUACUUGACUAAAUCAGUUAAAACUUUCAACAACGGAUCUCUUGGUUCCGGCAUCGAUGAAGAACGCAGCGAAAUGCGAUAAGUAAUGUGAAUUGCAGAAUUCAGUGAAUCAUCGAGUCUUUGAACGCACAUUGCGCCCCCUGGUAUUCCGGGGGGCAUGCCUGUCCGAGCGUCAUUGCUGCCCUCAAGCACGGCUUGUGUGUUGGGCUCUCGCCCCCCGCUUCCGGGGGGCGGGCCCGAAAGGCAGCGGCGGCACCGCGUCCGGUCCUCGAGCGUAUGGGGCUUCGUCACCCGCUCUGUAGGCCCGGCCGGCGCCCGCCGGCGAACACCAUCAAUCUUAACCAGGUUGACCUCGGAUCAGGUAGGGAUACCCGCUGAACUUAAGCAUAUCAAUAAGCGGAGGAA